rnacentral:lncRNA from 1 species
UAAAAUCCCAAUCUUCAAACCACACGCCAUUUUCAUAGUAGAGAAGAAACUACGCUAAGGAUGAAGGAAGAAGAGAGAGCUUAGCUUUAGGAGGAGAGGGCGUUUGCCCUGCUCUGAAUCGAAAGACGGCGUGACGACGGAGCUUCCGUUGGCGUCAGGAACUAUGGCGCAGGGGCAACUGACGCCGAUCAGAUCAUGGCCGAGAGAGAGAACGGC